rnacentral:rRNA from 1 species
UGGGGAAUAUUGCACAAUGGGCGGAAGCCUGAUGCAGCAACGCCGCGUGCGGGAUGACGGCCUUCGGGUUGUAAACCGCUUUCACCAGGGGCGAAUUUGGACGGUACCUGGGGAAGAAGCACCGGCUAACUACGUGCCAGCAGCCGCGGUGAUACGUAGGGUGCGAGCGUUGUCCGGAUUUAUUGGGCGUAAAGGGCUCGUAGGUGGUUUGUUGCGUCGGAAGUGAAAACCUGCAGCUUAACUGUGGGCUUGCUUUCGAUACGGGCAGACUUGAGGAAGGUAGGGGAGAACGGAAUUCCUGGUGGAGCGGUGGAAUGCGCAGAUAUCAGGAGGAACACCGGUGGCGAAGGCGGUUCUCUGGACCUUUCCUGACGCUGAGGAGCGAAAGCGUGGGGAGCAAACAGG